GACAGUCAAAUCACAAUGAAAACACCAGUUCUCUUUCGAUCACCGAAGUUAAACAUUGUAGAUCCAAGUCAGUACAUAGAUUGGGAACCGCUUGGAAACACCUGGUACUGUA